rnacentral:rRNA from 1 species
UACGUAGGGGGCUAGCGUUGUCCGGAAUCAUUGGGCGUAAAGGGCGCGUAGGCGGCUCGGCACGUCCGUUGUGAAAUCGCCCGGCUCAACUGGGCGGGUCGGCGGAUACGGCCGAGCUGGAGCAAGCUAGGGGGUAAUGGAAUUCCCGGUGUAGUGGUGGAAUGCGUAGAUAUCGGGAGGAACACCAGUGGCGAAGGCGGUUACCUGGAGCUUUGCUGACGCUGAUGCGCGAAAGCGUGGGGAGCGAGUCCGG